UUCUGUAUAUUCUUUUGAGGAGGUUAUAAUAGUUCAGAAAGUGUUUGCAAAAUUACCUGCUUACCAAAUUCAGUUCUUGCCUAUACUAUAUUCCUUCUGUGUUAGAAGACUGACAAGACUUAGUUUGUUAAAGACUUCAUUAUCAGGAAUUAGGCUUGUUCUGUUGACUGCUCUCUCUUUUGUAAAUAAGGAAAACACAAAGAUUGUGUCAGAAGGUGGUAGAGCACUUAGAGUGGAUGGGAUUUCUGCUUCUGAAGCUAGGAGAACCUCAGGCCAUCCUCUUUGACCUGAAGUGGCAAAUUCAGAGCUGUUACUGUUCCAUGAACUGGAGCAGUGAGCUCUUGCAGAGAUCUACUGCUUUGUCUGUAGAGGGCAGUCCUUUAUCUACUGUUAGAUGUGCUGUGUCUUCCUGUGGCAUCUCAGGCUGUUUAAAAUGUUCAUAAUUAACUGUAUCACCAGUCCUCUUUACCGCUAAAAUUCUGCAAAGAAAUCUGUCUUCUUGGUAAAAUGAUUUAUUUCUAUAUGCAAGCAAAGGUCCAGUUCAGAAGGCCUCCCCUAAAUGUAGCCAGUAACCAAAAGCUAUUUACUGCACACUGUAUGAAGAGAACACUUACAUGGAACAGUUUGUAGGCAGAUAAAUAGCAGAUUUUGUUAAAGGGUACUGCUUCUUCUGCUGUGCAAGUGUUAUUCUGCAUUACUCCUUGAUCCUAAAUGUAUCAUUAUCUUCUGUUAGGAAGCAUUCUGGAACUUCAUCUUGAUGGAGCUCUGUUUCCCCAUAGGUUUAAUGGUUGCUUAUAAGUUACUAAGAGUAAUCUUCCAAACUGGUGUUGUUUGGGAGACUGAGAAUUUAAGUAGUAGUUACAUCGUUCUAUAUAAAUUUAUGUUGUUCUUUAUUUGGCCUUUUCCCAUGGCUUUUGAGGUCUUCAGAAUGGGGGGUGGGAGGGGUGGAAGACUUGCCAGAGCUAGCAAUAUUAUGUUUUUGUUUUGAAAAGGAAGAAGAGUCAAAAAAGAGCCAGCAAAGCUGUUUGCAAACUUGUGGUUUUAAUUUCUACAUGCUGUUACACUCACCAUAUGCUGGCCACAGAGUACAGGGAUAUUCAGAUUGCAGUGUUUGCUGUUAGAGUAACUAACAAAUAAUUAGUAAAAUUC